CUUGUACUCCCUCCGUUCGGAAUUACUUGUCGCAGAAAUGAAUGUAUCUAGACGUAUUUUAGUUCUAGAUACAUCCAUUUCCGAGACAAGUAAUUCCAAACGGAGGGAGUAGGUA
rnacentral:pre_miRNA from 1 species